rnacentral:rRNA from 1 species
GUCAACGACCAUACCAUGUUGAAAACACCGGUUCUCGUCCGAUCACCGAAGUUAAGCAACAUCGGGCAUGGCUAGUACUUAGGUGGGUGACCACUU